AAAAGCAAUUUUGUUAAUCACUUUAGCACCAAUUCUUGCAUCCCUGGCAAUACUCAGAACUGCUUCCAUCCAAGUCUUUGAUGUGGGAAAGAAACACACACACACUCUUUCGCAUGUAAUCUGAAAACAAUUCACCUCUUGCCAAUGAAUGCACAGCACUCCACUUUAAUAGAGAGCAAGUUCUGUGGAGGUUUCUAAUCCUUUCUGCCAUCAGCUUCUAUUGCAGAUGUGAAGUUUAGCAUUUCUUUGCUCACUCUUUUACUGGGACUUGAAGCAACAGAGUUGGUGGUCCAGUGGCCAUUGUCCUGUGUUAGGAGCAGGUGGUCUCGCUAAGCUCCAUGUGUUUGGAAAUUUCUCUGACCAGUGCUUGUUCUGCUAAAGGAAGAAGAGCUCAAGCUGCACUCCUUGUUUCCAG
rnacentral:lncRNA from 1 species